rnacentral:rRNA from 1 species
CCUACGGGAGGCAGCAGUAAGGAAUAUUGGUCAAUGGACGCAAGUCUGAACCAGCCAUGCCGCGUGAAGGAUUAAGGUCCUCUGGAUUGUAAACUUCUUUUAUAUGGGACGAAAACAGAUCUUUCUAGGUCCUUUGACGGUACCAUAUGAAUAAGCACCGGCUAACUCCGUGCCAGCAGCCGCGGUAAUACGGAGGGUGCAAGCGUUAUCCGGAUUCACUGGGUUUAAAGGGUGCGUAGGCGGGUAGGUAAGUCAGUGGUGAAAUCCUGGAGCUCAACUCCAGAACUGCCAUUGAUACUAUCUAUCUUGAAUAUUGUGGAGGUAAGCGGAAUAUGUCAUGUAGCGGUGAAAUGCUUAGAUAUGACAUAGAACACCCAUUGCGAAGGCAGCUUACUACGCAUAUAUUGACGCUGAGGCACGAAAGCGUGGGGAUCAAACAGGAUUAGAUACCCUGGUAGUCCACGCCCUAAACGAUGGAUACUCGACAUACGCGAUACACAGUGUGUGUCGUGAGACGAAGACGAUAAGUAUACCGACCCGUACGGUAGUACGUUACGUCGAGAAGUAGAACGUACGAAGAAGUAGACGGACGNGAGACGNGCGACGGACGACGACGAGGGAGGAGG